rnacentral:rRNA from 1 species
UACGGGGGGGGCAAGCGUUGUUCGGAAUUACUGGGCGUAAAGGGCUCGUAGGCGGCCAACUAAGUCAGACGUGAAAUCCCUCGGCUUAACCGGGGAACUGCGUCUGAUACUGGAUGGCUUGAAUCCGGGAGAGGGAUGCGGAAUUCCAGGUGUAGCGGUGAAAUGCGUAGAUAUCUGGAGGAACACCGGUGGCGAAGGCGACAUCCUGGACCGGUAUUGACGCUGAGUGAGCGAAAGCCAGGGGAGCAAACGGG